ACCCAUCACGUCCUCUAAGAGAGGAGGAAAAGGUGCAGGGUGGGAUGAGAGGCCAGAAGUGUUAGGUGAGUAGUCAGGGGUCCUAAGCCUGCAGUCCAUGGCUUCUGAGGGUCUGUGAAGUCCCUGAAAUGGAACAGGGUAUGUGUGUGUGUGUGUGUGUGUGUGUGUGUGUGUGUGUGUGUGAUAUUUUUCUAGAGAGUCUAUAGUAGGUGUUGUGGGUACUCUGACCAGAUCCCUUUAACCCACGACCUGGGGCUGCUAUAAGUAUUGGCUGUUAGUCACAGCUUCCCCCUCCUUUGACGAAUGUUCCUUGACCAAAAGGGAACCCCAAGCCAGAGGGGCUAUACCUGCCCCCACCAGGGGAAACUGGCUGCCUUGCGGGGGGGGGUCAAAGGCCACCCCCUGGCCUCAAGGUGGGAACAACUGUGUAGCGCAGCUCAUGCUCCAGGGCGUCUCCUGAGGUCAGGUUGAGCUCAUCUCCCACUGAGACCACCUUCUGGCUUAGCCCUUCUCCCCUGCCCUAGCCUGCGUCCCUCACUCUCUUUCUCCUUGGAGCACUCCCUCCAAAACUCACUUGUACAAGAACCCCUGACUCAGGCUCUGCUUCCAGGAACCUGACCCAGUUCAGGGCUCAUUAGCUCUCAUCAGAUUCUGACAGUGGCUUAUGAUGCCAAAGUGGGUUGUAUAGUGACCCCCAAAAGAUAAGUGUCCACAUCCUAAUCCCUGAAACCUGUGAGUGUCACCUCAUUUGGAAAAAAGGUCUCUGUAGAUUAAUUAAGUUAAGGAUUUUAAGAUGAGAUCAUCUGGGAUUAUCCUAAAUCCAAUGACAAGUGUCCUUAAGGAGACGCACAGAGGAGAGCCACUCUGACGCAGAGGAGAAGCCAUCUGCAGUUGGAGGCAGAGAUUGGAGUGAUGCGGUCACAAGUCAAGGACACCUGGAGCCACCAAAGGCUGGAAGAGGCAGGGGGAUCCUCCCCUAGAGAUUUUUUUUUUUUUAAAUUUACUAUUAUUAUUAUUUUUUGGCUGCAUUUGGUCUUUGUUGCUGCGCACAGGCUUUCUGUAGUUGCGGCGAGCGGGGGCUACUCUUUGUUGCGGUGCGCGGUCUUCUCAUUGCGGUGGUUUCUCUUGCUGCGGAGCACGGGCUCCGGGCCCAGCCGCUCCGCGGCAUGUGGGAUCUUCCCGGACCGGGGCACGAACCCGUGUCCCCUGCAUCGGCAGGUGGACUCUCAACCACCGCGCCACCAGGGAAGCCCUGGAACGUGUUUUAACUUGAAUUUGUACACUAAACAUUCGUACAGCAAUUGUUAUUUGCCAGGUCCGGUGAGGCGGCAAAGAUCAAAAAGACAUGGCGCCGCCCCCGGACACCCUGAUGACUCGAGGGAGACAGGCCGAUUCUAGCAGGAGGGUGAAGGGCUGUAGUCGCAGCCGGUGGUAAGCUCCGCUCAGCAGAGCUGGACUAAGAAGCGGGAGUCGCUUGGCAGAUGAAGGCAGGGGCGUGGGAGGCCCGUCAAGAGGACAGCACGAGGCCUGGCCUGACCCCCGCCCCCAUCAGAUCGAGAGCAGCUCGGGUGAGUGGUGAGGCUGCAGCAACAAAAAGCCCACCGGUCAAUCCUGAGCACGUGGUCCAACACCUCAUUAAACAGGACCAGAGGAACAUCGAGCUCUUCUUCAUAGAAGACUUUCAGCCUGGCUUUGACAUAAUCUCUUAACUCUUCUUGGUCUACUGGGAUGUAAUCCUGUAGGAAAAAAGGUAGAUCCAAUUACGAAGAAGAAAUCAUCUUAGUUCUUAUAGCAAAGUGGAUUCUAUUUCCAUAUACCAAGA